UGGAAGUCGUAGCAAUCCUGCUCAGUC
rnacentral:piRNA from 1 species